AAAACUCUUCUCGGCGCUCACCCUUCCCGAUUCCUCUCUGCCUCACCUCUGCGAUGCUAUGCCGCCUCGUCGCCAGCGAUUCGACGCCGCCCUUUGCCGGAGCAAACCGGAGCCAGCCGGUGCUUCCUCCUAUGCACCCAACAGCGACACCAAGAAAAGAAAGAGGCAAGUAGAUUCCUCUAGUAUGUGUAGAAUGUGUGCAUUUUCGGUAGGAUUGAAGAUAAAGUAGAGGCUGUACCUAGUACGGCAAGAUGGAGGUUUCGAGCUUCUUCCCUUUUCUUUUCCCUUCUCUUCAGAAGUAGAUUUGAGUGCGAAUGACUGAUUUCCACGAUUUCAUUGCCUUUUUGUGUGGUUAUGUUCAACAAAACAAAUCAGAGGGAUUGUAAACUGGUUUCGUUUUGGGAUUUUCCUUGCACUAUUUUCGUGAGGAUGGUUUUCUUUGAUUUUUUAUCAGUUUGGGUGUGGAGGGUUUCGUAUCGAUGUUGUAAUGUUUUCCCCCUCCUCGAGCAAUUGUGAUUAGGAAGUUAUGGGAUUUCUGGACAAGUUAGGCGGUGUUGUUUGAGGUGUUGUGUUUUGCUCCUUGUGUGAGCUCGGAUUAUAGGUAGAAUGGAGGUGAACGCUUUGAGUGGGUGUGUGGGUUCUUGUUUGGUGCGUCAGCUUUGGUGGUUGGCCAAACUAGAGGAGAUGCCUUAUAUAUGUGGUGUACGUGAUUCUUGAGAUUGUUGGGGAAGAAUCUAGAGGGCAAUUGUUUUCAUGUGAUGCAGUGAUUUUCCUUCUGCUAACUCAAGUUAUUUAGAUUAAAGUUGGUAGAAUAGAAACUUAGUUGAUUUACGAAGCUACACUCUUAAUGUUUUUUUUUCAUAUGUCCAGAAGGUAUUUGCACUGUUUGAAUGUAUGUUUUCUUGCAAGGUAUGAUAUGAUUGGGUCAUGUAUUUCGGUGACGGUACAAGAGGGGUACUCCGGAAUGAGCUCCAAGGAGGACUCUUCCAAAUCCAACUGAAUGCGCUAUGUACAAUGGCAUCGACUAGAUGGAUAUAAAUUCUUUAAGAGGUGAGGAAGAUGUCACGAAGGGUAUGACUGGAGACAUGGAAGCGGAGUAGCCGAGAAGAUGGGUUGAGAUGCAUAGCAUAUCAUCCGAGAGCCCCUAGGAGCAUGUUAAUAAGUUUAUUUAUAGAUUUGUUAUGUUGAAAUGAGUUGGAGACUAUAUACUUGAUUUGUUUGAGUCUUAUGAAUUUUCAAUUAAAAAUGUAUAUGUUGAGUUUAAGGUUUAUAAGGGAGGCAGUUCUGCUCUUUUGAGUCAA